GUUGAUAUUGGAAACUAUAUUUUAUUAUUUUUAAAUGUUUUAUGUAUGACAAAAUUAGUUUGAGUUGUUGGUGCUAACUAUUAAUUCUCAAAACUCGAGCUAUUAAAAUUAUGCAACCAAUUCACUUAAAACAUAUAGAUUUAGUAUUCAUGGAUCUCGAUUGUGAUUCGGCCACAUCAGUCUCACGCGCAUUUCAAACAUAAUUCGGCACAAAUUAGCCUUCCGCCACAUAGCAGGAUGCUAACAGUAGGACACAAAUAUUAAAACUGUGAAUACUGUAGUACAAAAUGUGACAGGGAGCUACAUUCAUUUUAGCCCAAUAAACAUUUUUUGAGAGAAAGAUGGCAUUCCAUUCGUUUUGUUUAAUUUUUUCAAAAAUAAAUUUAGCUAAAAAUGUGAAACAAUUAGACUUCGUACAGAUAUCAACCAUCAAGUCUUUUGCUACUUGCACUGGUGACGUUAUUUUAAAGUAAAGUUUAAUACAUUACGCGGGCGUACAUACGUCAUGCCCGUGUUAGAGCCCACACUCUUUUUGCAGUAUCGAAAAGCCCAUCCAAUGCUGGGCCUGCUUUUGGUCAACCAAGUGUUUGAACCUCACAUAUCCCCCCCAUGUUUCUGAUUUCAAGAAUUUGUGAAAAUUGAUCAGCAUGCACAUGAGGAAAACUUUAAUCAAGAGAAUAUUUUAUAUAAACAGAGUAAAUUGUUUAAUUUUAUCAAAGACGAAACAAAAUUAUUUUACUUGAAAAUGGUAAUUGGUUCUAACAAUCGGCAGAAGAGAAUGUCAAUUUAUUUUCUGCCAUCACCAUUAAUGUUGUCCAUCUCAGUAACUUGCCUAUUGCAUGAUACUUUCUUGUAAGUACCUGAUGAAGAAUAGGAUCUGUUUGUUUUACUGAAGAUGAAGUUCAGAUUGACAUAGAUUUUUUUAUGAAAAAAUAAUUUUCCUUCCGUUGUUUGUUUGCGUAGCUACGAAACUAAAGUUUUCCUAAUUUUAUUAUUUGUUCGGUAAAAAAAAGAAUGGUGUAAAAACUGAAGGCGUGAUAGAUGAUCAAUUAAUAUCUUAAUUGUUUUCACCUUUUUUUUUUUUCUGUAAUUGAUUUCAAUCUGUAUUUUGGAAACUUUUAGUUUGGAUCGAAUAUAAAACUAUGAUGAAAAUCAUCAAACAACAGAAACGGACAUUUAUGAUCGAAAAUCACUUUACCCCACUCCAUUUUGGUGAAACAAAUUUUAAGACAUUUUUUUUUUAUCCAAAAAGACUUAAAUUUUACAGUUUGGUACAGCUUUUCUGUGCAUUGUGGAGCCAAAGUGGUGGAGUCGAGCGCCAAAUUAAGUCCGACACGCGCCAUUGUCUCCUGCUAGUACAUUUGGAUCAAAGACCAGGUCGAAUUUCUAAACCAGAAGUUCAUUUGCACCCGGACAGGUUGGGUGGAACAUAUAAAAUUAGAUCCAUCUCGCAUGCAAUGACGCAAACAAAUAUAGUCAUAAUGAGCUAGUUUCAAUUAUUUAAUUGUACACAAUUUAGCGCUUAGUGACACUAAAAUGUUUUGCUUAUGUCUUAUGCCACAAAGUGUUGGUACUUAAGCUAAAGAUCUCCUUUGCGGAACCCAUUGAUGAAAAACCAAGCUCAUUAUUGUGUAUAUAUAUAUAUAUAUAUAUUAAUGUUCCCUCUUAAUUAAACAAUAGAGAGGUUACUAACUACAUGAUUCAAUAGUUAAAGCGCCGUAAUUUAAGGUGAACCAAUGAGAGUGAGGCACUUGUACAGAAAAAAAAGAGAAUAAUUCGACUUGCCAAAAGCAUUUUUUACCUUCUAUCACAAGUCAAAAGAUCAUGAAAAGAGUUAAAAUAUAUAUCUAAUUAUUCUUCCAUAAAUCGAGGUACAUGCAUUGUCUCCAUUUCUCACUAAACAAGAUUAACUAAAGUUAAUUAAUGAGUUAAAACCCCUACAAGGUGUGCAAACAAAAACCUCCAAAAAUGCGGAACUAGUUAAGAACCAAAAAAGAUGCUAGAUCACGGUUCAACUGGGGCUUGCCCAAUAGUUCAACCGAGCGAACAAGUGACAUAUAUCACCACAAUAUCAUAUAUAAAUAAUAAAUUAUUAAUUUUCUAUAUAUAAAAUUAUAGAGAUAAAUAAGAUAAAUAAAUAUAUUUUACAAAAAUUCUUCAAGAAAAUCUUAAUCAAAUUGAUUAAACAAUAUAUCCUACCGGCAAUCAUAUAUAGCUAGUAAGUGAUAGUCCAAACCGGUCUAAUUAAAUUCUGACCAAUUCACCAAUUUAUUGGUUGAACCAUCAGUUCAAAUAGGUCAAUAUGUGCUUUAAAAUUUCUGGUUUUGGAGUCAAACUGAACCAUCCUAGGGAUUAUCUCACGGUCCGACCGGUUCGAUUGGCCGGUUCAACCCAGUUUUAAAUUUUUAAUACGUGCACAAAACCUGCAGGGGAGAGAGCCAGAGUCCUAGAUAUUCUUGGAGAAGUUAUGUUUUUUUUUUUUUUUUUUUUUUUUUUUGAGAGAUAGGUAGCACGCUACCCGCUUCGUUUAUUUCAUUUAGAAAUAAACUUAGCUGGAAAUUUGAAUCAACUAGGAUUCGAACUUGGGUCUCGAGUACCAACCACCAAGCCCUUGGCCACUUGCUCUAGGGACGGUCGGUUUGGAGAAGUUGUGUUAAGGAGGAGAAAGAUAAAAUUAAGGCUAAAUUGCACUUUUGGUCCUCAAAUUAUGAGGCGGAAUAUAUUUUGGUCCUUAUAUUUUAUUUUAUUGUAAUUUCUAUCUAUUGCGAUUAUUAAAAUCAAGUCCCACAAUCUUAAUUAGUUAACUAUAUGACAAUAUGUUGGUGAUACGACAAUAAUAUAAUAUAUAUUAAUUAUUAUUUGCCAUAAAAUUCGUACGACAGUAUAACAUCAUUUCAAAUUUAGUAACAUCAUCAUUUAAAUAAUUAAAUUGUCCUGUAAAAAUAGAUUGCAAUAGUUUAGAAUGUGUGAGCCGGAAACUAUAAUAAAUUAAUAUUUCAUGAUCUAACAUAUCAUGCAUCUCAUAACUUAACAACCCAAAGUAUAAUUUAGUCGACAAUUAACCAUCAAACUGUUCGUAAGGAUCUUUGUAGCUUCCUAGCAAGAUAUCCACUUUGUGUGCUAUUUUUCAAUUAACUAUAUAGCCUGUUUGAGGAAUAAAGUAAUAAUUAUUGGUAACUAAUAAAGGUAAUGGAAAGCAAGCAUGUACUAUUGUUUAAAAUUAAGACCAGCCAAUGUGGACACACUACAUGGCAAUAGUUUUUACUAGAAAAAAUUAAUAAUAGUAGCUUAGUAGCAGUUCGACUGGUUUCUAAACUAGCAUUUCAACCUAGAAAAGCAACGAACAGGCAUAUAUUUGAUCUGCAUAUAUCAUAUAGAAAAGCCAAAAUAGUAGCUGAACUACAGUAAGAAGCUCUUCAAGAAUUCAUGAAAACGCAAAGGAGUUGUUAGCAUUUUCUUCAAACAACGAUAAUCAAACAGCAUUCCAAGUGUACGUACUUCAAAUAAUAAACUUAUUAUUAAAAACUUUAAUAGUGAAAAUUUUAAUAAUAAUUUUAGCUGGUGCUAAAAGCUAGUUAUGUAGUAGAAAAAAGUUUUUAGCAAAGCAAUUAAUAGGAAGGUGCAAUGUUCCAUCGCAAUGACUUUAACAAGAGAGAGGCAUUAUGUACCCUUCCCAUGCAUCAAGGAGCAAAAAGGACUAUGAUUAGAACUUAAGACAAGGAAGAUGGAAUAAUUGAGAUUUGUCAUGAUUAAGUAGCACGCUAAUGGUACGCUGAUGUGUCUGCAUGGGCCUCGAUCUGCAUGCAAUUGUAAUAGUACGCCUGGUGUCUGUGUGGGCCUUCCCAUGCUAUUUGCAAAGAAAGCAUAUAUAUAUAUAUAUAUAUAUAUAUAUAUAUAUAUAUAUAUAUAUAGAGUGCGGCUAGGGUGCUUUUGGAAGCACGGAGCGCUCCGUGCUUCCACUUUGUUUUCGAUGUUCGGACUUUCAAAUCGACGAUCGGCUCCGUUAGACUUGAUCUAGAGUAUUUGAAGUAUCUAGAAAAUAAAUUUUGCGAUUUUUCGAUAUCAUUUGCCUAGUGAUCGAAGUGGCUCAAAAUCAACGGCUGAAAAUAAAAAUCUCACAAAAUAUGAUGAUAUGACAUUAAAAUUUUAGAUCGAAGUUAUUGAUCUUGUUUUAUAUGGUAUAAAGAAUUUUCUAUCAAAAUUUCAUGUGAUUUGGAUAUUUCUACACCGUUAAACUUGCAACCGGCUCACCACGACCGUUAAAAUUAUUGAUUUUGAGCCCCUUCGAUCACUAGGCAAAUGAUAUCGAAAAAACGCAAAAUUUAUUUUCUAGGUACUUCAAAUACUCUAGAUCGACUCUAACGGAGCCGAUCGUCGAUUCGAAAGUCCGAACAUCGAAAACAACUUGGAAGCACGGAGGGCUCCGUGCUUCCAAAAGCAUACCAGCCCACUCUCUCUCUCUCUCUCUCUCUCUCUCUCUCUCUAUAUAUAUAUAUAUAUAUAUAUAUAUAUAGUAGGUCUUAUGUGCUAGGAGCACGGAGGCCUUCGUGCUCCUAAGUCGUUUUCGAUGAUGGAGCUUCCGAGUCGAAGAUCAAUUCCUUUAGGCUUGAUAUAGCGUAUUCGAAGUAUCUAGAAAAAAAAAUUUUGCGAUUUUUCGAUAUCAUUUACCUAGCAAUCGAAAGGUUCAGAAUCAACGGCUGAAAAUAAAAAUCUCACAACGAGUGGUGAUAUAGCACUAAAAUUUUCGAUCAGAGAUAUUGAUCUUGCAGUAAAUAGUAUAAAGAAUUUUCUAUCAAAAUUUCAUCUGAUUUGAAUACUUCUACAUUGUUAAACUUGCAAACUGUGAGAUCCCUAGUGUUCAGCUGUGGAGGCUUGCCGACAGCUCUGGAGAGUGUCGGGACAAGUCCGAGUCGCGUUGGCGUCAAAUAGACGCAAAACGGACUCGGUGCGACGCGAUGGCAGCUUGUAGCGAAGAAAUCUGCAAAACAGCAGAUUACUCUGCUUGCUGUACCGGUACAACCAACACGCUGUAGCGGUACAACCAGCGCGCACUGAUAUAGCUGUUCUCGGGUUGGCUCUUGUACCGGUACAGGAGCCCGUGUACCGGUACAAAGGAAAAGGGGGUAGGUAAAGGGUGGUUUGGUCUUUUUCCACCUCGUUCAUAUCACCCUUUCCCUCUCUCUCUAUUUAGGUCUGUGUAGAGCAGAGAGAGGGAGUUCUUUCUUCUUCUCCUCUCUCUCUAGCUGGGUUCUUGAGCACGGUGGAACUCGGGUGAAGCUUGGAUUCGUCGCCGACGUCGCGUCGUGGAGCCAUUCGAGCACACUUUCGACGUUGUGUUGCUGCGAGAAGGUCGGGCGAGUGUGGCUUUUCGCCAUCCUUGACGUCGUGCUGAUUCUAGGUACAUAUUGGGUAGCGCCCACGAGUGCCACUCCGGAGUCAGGCUUUGUGCUUUCGCGUUGGUGUCGCUCAUGCCAGUUGGACUUGCUCUCCACAGACCAGUUAGUGUGGAGGUAGCUGGACAGUCGCAACGGGGCAGGGACGGGUGUAUUCACAGUCCCAGGGACAGGUAUGUUUACAGUCCCGAUUGGAUUGGGUUAGAUUUGACAUUUCCUACAGUUGAUUAGUGUUGAGCAUGAUAGUGUAGUGAUCGAUAGCGGUAGAGUUUACUUCCUGCUUUUCCGACUACUCUUGCUCCUUUCUGUAGACUCAGUCAGUGGACCGAUGUUGUUUUGGGCGGUACCCACUGAGGACUACUUGUUUUUACAGUAGUUCUCACGCCCAGUUGUUACUCCUGUUUUGCAGAGCCACAGGUUUUGGCUGCUGCGCCUUCCGCGGACCAGGAUCGAGGCAAGGGCAUCGCGAGUUAGAGCCCUACCCGACGAGCUAAGCUAGAGGCACCCCUACUGCAGGUAGAUGUUUUGUCUGAGUUUAUGUACAUAGCUUACUUAACUCGCCAGUGCGAGUAACUCUGUAUUUUGGAUUUGGACAAUGUAUAUGAAACUCAGUUUGUUUAGCUUUUGUUUAUUUGAGCAGCUCUAUGCUACUGUUUGUAGUAUUGUAUAUCUACAGGUACAGCUGUCACUUCGUAUACAGGGGAAAAUUCCUUUGUAUACGGUGGAUUUGUCGGCGUGCCUGGGGAACGAGACAUCCGGGGCGUGACACAAACAAUAUACAUCAACUUUUAAAAGUCGUUGAUUUUGAACCCUUUCGAUUGCUAGAUAAAUGAUAUCGAAAAAUUGCAAAAUUUAUUUUCUAGAUACUUUAGAUACGUUACAUCAAGUCUAACGAAGCAGAUCGACGAUUCAGAAGCUCUAUCAUCAAAACAACUUAGGAGCACGGAGGCCUCCAUGCUCCUAAUAGCACACAAGACCUACUAUAUAUAUAUAUAUAUAUAUAUAUAUAUAUAUAUAACCACUCAAAGGACUGAGGAUUCCAAGAGUUUUGUAAAACGAUUUGGACUCUAGUGGUCUAUUGUACCACUUUCCCAACUCAUCUUUGAAAAAUUAAGGCGACAACUUUUACGCGUGAUCAAGAACUAGAAAUCAAAUGGCACAACAUGCAACCUUGUUAACAGCUAGCAUAUCCACAGCAGUAAGUAAGAUGGAAAUUAUAAGGUACCGAACUUCUGUUGUAAGGUACCGAACUUCUAAAAUUAUGAAGUNUAUAUAUAUAUAUAUAUAUAUAUAUAUAUAUAUAUAUAUAUAAUUGAGCUCCUAUGCUUUUAAAAGUACCAAGUUAUUGGUGCUUGUAGAUUUUUAGCUAUUGGAUUAAGAAAUAUGCGGUUAGGAUGAUGUGGGCACCCUAGGGUUGAGUGGGUGGUUGGUUGAAUAGUAUAAUCUAAUGGUUGAAAAUGAUCCGACAAGUAGAUCUAACGGUAAAAAACUUACAAGCACCAAGUGUUUGAUGCUUUUACAAGCACCAUAGCUGGACUAUAUAUAUAUAUAUAUAUAUAUAUAUAGUCAAAUUAUGGUACUUUUAUAAGCACCGCAUAUUUGGUGCUUACAAGUUUUCUAUCAUUAGAUUUAUCUCUUUAAUCAAUUUAAGCUCUUAGAUUAUAUUAUUUUACCAAUCACCCACUCAAUUCUAGAAGAUCUCGAUUAUCCUAACCCCACAAAUCUUCUUUCAAAGGCCGAAAAUUUAUAAGCACCACUGAUUUGAUGAUUUUAAAAGCAUGGGAGUCCAAUUCUCACACUCUCUCUCUCUCUCUCUCUCUCUAUACAUAUAAUCAUAUAUGUAUAUAUAUACAUUUAUACAUAUAUGUAGGGUUGAGUGGGUGGUUGGUUGAAUAGUAUGAUCUAACGAAUAAAAAUUGUCAAAAGAAUAGAUCUAACAGUAAAAAACUUACAAACAACAAAUACUUGUUGUUUUUAAAAACACCAUAGUCGAACUAUAUAUAUUAUUUGCUGUGAAAAUUAAUUUGACUAUACCAAAUUUCUAUUUGAAAGUCAGAAUAAGUUAUUUGGCAAGAAUUUUCUAUUGUGAAUAGAAAUCAGCAGAAUAACAAAGAUUAUAUUUUAAUGUCGAAAUAUGAUAUUCAGUAAUAACUCAUUCAGUAUUUUUAUUUUUUUGUGAUUGAAAGCUAGGAGUUUUAUUUUUUAUCCUUUAAAGAUUUUGGAUUGACAAUCUGUUAGGAUAGUAUAUUCCACCUAUAAGGUGAUUUAUCUUAUUCUGAAAAAAUAACUUAAAAAUUGAGUAUGUAUGAUACCUACUCUAGAUAUUUAAUCACCCUCCCUUUCUAUUAAGUAGUACAUGCUUCUAGAGUAAAUUUAAAACAUAUGGCAAAUAUGAUUAUGCAUCCAAAUAAAGCCUUAUAAGAUAUUCAAUAAUAACUUAUGCAGUAUGAAGCUUGUGCUACAUAAUGGAAGCAAAAGUAUUUUGUUCGUCGAAAGGUCUUAGCAUCCAUAAUUUGGCAAGAUAGUAUAUUUUUCCUAAAAGAUGACUUAUCAUAUUCCAAAAAAAUAAGUUAGAGAAUGAAUAUGUUAUCCAUUCUAGAUAUUUAGUUAUACUCAUCUAUCAAAUACUGUAUGCUUCUUGAGUAAACCGAAAAGAUGUACUGAAUAGGAUAUUCAUAUAUUUUAUUUUUUUGAAAUAAAAUAAAUAAUCUCACAGAUAAAGUUUCUUAUCCUAGCAAAUUAUGAAUGUCAGAUUCAUUUUAGGGCCAAAAAAUAAAGUUUACCUUCCAAUUACACAAAAAAAAUUUCAUGUGGAUUGAGUUAUCAUCAGAUAGCACAUUCCGUUACUCAAAGUAAAGCCUUAAAAAAACUUUAAAGCACUGUAUAAAAUUAACUAACCAAGAUUAGGGUAGCACGUGGAAUUAAUAUUAAGUGUGGUAGGGGUCAUGGAUAAACUAGGUAGCACGUGCCAUUGAUCCCUUAUGGAUGCAUGGUUAAAAAAAGGAAAACUUCAAAUACCCCCUUGUAGUUUCACUUUUUUUCACUUUAGUACCUUAUUGUUUAAAGUGUAUCAAGUUAGUGUCCUGUGGUUUCGCACUUUCUCACUUUAAUAUUCUGUGGUUUAAAGUGUAUCAAGUUAGUACCCUGUGAUUUCGCACUUUUUCACUUUAGUACCAUGUGGUUUAAUAUUUCACUAAGAAAAAAAUAAAAUCACAGGAUACUAACUUGAUAUAAAAAUAAAAUCACAGGAUACUAACACAUUUUAAACCACAUGGUACUAAAGUGAGAGAGUGCGAAACCAAAGGAUACUAACUUGAUACAUUUUAAACCACAGAGUACUAAAAUGAAAAAAUACGAAACCAUAAGGGGGGUUUUUGAAGUUUUCCCUUAAAAAAACAGGGCAAAAAGUGUGCUUAGUUAUUAGGCUUGGUGUUGUCAACUAAUCUGGAACAACUCUUUAGUGCUCUGCCGACAUAAGCUUUUAAUACACUAUGUUAAAAUAUUUAAGAGGUUUCGUGUAAAUUUUAUGAAAAUAUGUACAAAGGGCCCCGACGGAUUUCAUUACAAUUUUUAUCAGAAGUGCUGGGAUAUAGUGACAUUAUUUUUGCAAAGAGAUAUUUAAACCUUUAAUUUUAAUAGUCCAACUUGUAAACUUUAUUGAGUAAUUUAAUAGACCCCUGAUAUUAAUAGACCUCUUUUAUGAAUGAGACGACCUUAUUAAAAAUAAUUGAAAAUUUAGUUCCCAAAUAAUUUCAAUAGUGCAAAUGAAGUCUAACGGAGCCGAUCGUCGAUUUGAAAAUCACAUCAUUGAAAACAACUUAGUAACACUGAGGCCUUCGUGCUACCGAUAGUAUAUCAGCCUAGCUCUAUAUAGAGUUAGUACCAAGUGCUUUGUGCUAUUAGAUUUUCGGGCUUUUAAUAAAGAGGUGUGAAGUUAAGAUGAUUGCUGCCCCCUAAAAUUGAAUAGGCAGUUGGUUGAAUAGUAUGAUCUAGCAGGUGGAAAUGGUCAAGGGGUAGAUCUAACGACAGAAAGCUCGAUAGCACCAAGCAUUUGAUACUAUCGAUAGUAUAGUAGCCGGACUAUAUAUAUAUAUAUAUUCCGGCUACUAUACUCUUAUGAGCACGAUCGUAUUCGUACUCAUAAGUUGUUUUCGAUGAUAGAGCUUCCGUAUCGACGAUCCACACCGUUAAACGUUACCUAGAGUAUUUAAAACGUCUAGAAAUCAACUUUUAGAAUUUUUUAAUAUCAUUUACCUUACGAUCAAUAGCUCGCAAAAUUGAUAAUUUUUAACGGACGGUAUGUGAUACUUGCUAGUUUAACGGUGUAAAAGAAUCGGAAUAGCUUGAAAUUUUGAUAGAAAAUUCAAUUCAUUACCUAGAUAAAGAUCAGUAACCCCGAUCUUAAAUUGAAGGAUCCGAUCAUCUAUUUUUAGAACGUCGUUCGAUUUUGACCGUUCAUUUUAUAUCCGUUUGAUGGACUUUAUAAUGCUUUCGAAAAAUUACGAAAUUUAUUUUCUAGGAGUUUCAAAUACUCUAGAUCGUGUUUAACGGUGUGGAUGGUCGAUUCGGAAGCCCCAACAUCGAAAACUACUUAUGAGUACGAAGGGUUCUAUACUCAUAAGAGUAUUAUAGCCCUACUCUCUAUAUAUAUAUAUAUAUAUAUAUAUAUAUAUAUAUAUAUAUAUAUAUAUAUUAUAAUAUAUUUAUAUGCGGCCUCUGUCUCUCAAAGCAGCGGAGGCCUCUUUGUUGCUCUCUCAGCCGCUUCGAUGCUAUUUUGAAUCGAGUCCUCGAUCGCCUCCGUUAGAUUUAAUCUACACUCAUUUAAGUUUCUAAAAUAAAUUUUUGGCAAUUUUUGAUAUCCUUUGCCUAGUGAUGAAAGUUCAAAAUCUAUAUAUUUUUAAUGUUAUUUAUCUGCCUUUUUUCAGUUUAACGGUGCGGUAAUUUCAAUAUACAAAUUUUUGAUACAAAUUUUAUAUAUCUAACAAAUCAAUAUUUCUGAAUCGAUACAUUUAGUAUAUUCACUACUUCUAUAGGAUUUUUAUUUCAAAGCCAUUAAAAAUAGAUUUUGAAUCCUUUCGCUUGCUAAUAAUAUACAAAAUCGCAAAAUUAUUUUAGAAACUUCAAAUACGCCAGAAUCAAAGUUAACAGCCGAUCGUCGAUUCGCGAUAAUUCAUUAUCAUAAAACCUCGGGCCGCAUCGAUCCUCCGUGCUCCACUGAUAGCACAGCUCCUAUCUCUCUCUCUCUCCUCUCUCAAAAUUGAGCGAUACACUGAGAUUCACAUGCACGUAGAAAGUCGACCGCGAGGCCUAGUGCCUCUUGUUAAGCUUCUAUUCCCAAUUAAAAUUGUUAAUGUGAACUAUGGUACCCGAUCCCACCACAAAAUAUCGCUGAGAAAGAUCCAUGAGCCUCCCCCAUGAAGUCUCACAACUUCGUCGACUGUAUGCUGGCUAUCUUCUUUUCUAUCGUCCUCUCAGUUCCCCCACCAACGUAUUGAUCGAAGCAAAAUCAUCAGUGUGCCGAUUUGUCAACUCUCCGGCUCCAUAACCACUAUACAAUCGGUACAAUUCCACCUUGUGUACUACAGAUUUCACAGCUCGUCAGCAAAGCUUCGCAUUGCAAGUUUCCCCAUUGUUCCAGCUCUACAUGGCUUUCUCACGGUAGCUCUUGCAAUAUCCCGCUGCUCGAUCUCACUACAUCCUCUCUCAAUCGACGCCCUUAUACACAAUCUCUCUCUAAUAUAAUAACUAAUCAUUAUUAUUAUCAAUUAUUUUACUAUGUUGGCAGCUCACUGUGUGCUAAUUAAAAAGCAUGCUAGCCGGGCCACUCUUGUGCUCUCAGAAGCAGGAGCCUCUGUGCUCUCUCGAAGCGCGCUUUCGAUGAUAGAAUUUCGAAUCGACGAUCGGCUCCGUUAGAUUAUUAAUCUAGCAGCAUUUGAAGUUUCUAGAAAAUAAUAUUUUGCAAAUUUUUGAUAUCAUUGCCUAUGAUUCGAAAGUUUCAACCAUCUAUAAUUUUAAAUGAGUUGAUAUCUGCGUUUUCAAGUUAACGGUGUAAAAGCUAUUCAAAUCAGAUAAAUUUUGAACAAAAUUCUUGUGAUUACUAAUCUACAACAACAGAUCAAUAUUUCUGAUCGAAAUUUUAGUUGGCUAUCAUCACGCACUUUUUAUAGACGGAUUUUUUUUCAGCCAUUAAAAAUUAUUGAUUUGAAAUCUUUCGAUUGCUAGAUAAAAUGGAUAUCAAAAAAUCGCAAAAAUAUUUUUUAGGAAACUUUCAAAUACGCUAGAUCAAGUUUAACGGAGCCGAUUGUCGAUUCGAAAAUUCCAUUACAAAAGGACUCGGGGCACGAGCCUCCUGGCUCGCUGAGCAGCACCAGCAGUUCCUACUCUCUUCUCUCGGAGUCUCUCUCGGAUCAGGGUGACGUCUUCUCUCUCCUCGGUUCUCUCUCGCUCUGUCUCUCUCUCUCGUCUCGUCCUCGUCUCUUCUCUAAUAUAUAUAUAUAUAUUAUAUAUAUAUAAUAUAUAUAUAGCAGGGCUAUCUGUGACUAUUAGAAGCAAGCAGACUGUCUAAAUUUCUACCUACCCACUCAAGUUUACUGAGUUGUUAAAAUAAAGAUGAAAGAGAUAUUAGAGAGAAAUUCACGGAGAACGAGAAAUGAAAUACCAAAUUUCUCACCCCAUACUCUGCCCUCUUUCAUUUCGUAGUCCACCCAUCAAAAUUACGACGUUAGAAGUUAGAGCGCAAAAGCUGCUGUGUGCCGCUAAUAGACAGUAACCCGCUUAUAUAUGUAUGGAAGCGCAUAAAGUAGUUUGGUGCUUCCGAUAUUUUUUAAGCCGUUAGAUCAACCCUAUUGAUCAUUUCUAACCAUUAAUAUAAUAUUAUUAAACUUAUGUGGCCACUCAACUCUAGGGGGGCCACUCAACGCAAGGUGGACUCAACCAUAGAAUCUUUAAUCCACAGCAGUAAAAAUCGGAAGCCCAACCUUUAUACUCUUUCGAUAGAUAGUAGCUCUUCACUAUAUAUAUAUAUAUAUAAUAUAUAUUGUUGAGCUAGAAUACCGCUCAAAAAGCACCAGAAAAGUGGUGCUUUUGAGUUUUAGCCAUUAGAUAGAGAUGUAGGGUUUGAUGAUGUGUGGUAGGUGGUCGGUAGGUGGAAUAGUAUUUAAAUCCAAAACUAAUUAAUAAUAAGAAGUAGAUCCGAAGCUAGACAAACUUAGAAGCAGCAAGGGUUGGUGCUUCUAAAAAUAUUCUAGCUCAAUUAUAUACUAAUAUAUAAUAUAUAUAUAAUAUAUAUAAAGAGUGAGGUCUACCUAUGCUAUCGGAAAGCAGCGGAGCCUUCCGGUGCUUCCACUCGUUUUCGAUGUUGACGACUAUCGAAUCGUCGAUCGGGCUCCGUUAAAACUUGAUUAGAGUAUUGAGCAUACCUACCGAAAAUAAGAUUUUAUGAUUUUACGAUAUCAUUUGCCUACUGAACGACGGGCUCAAAUCAACGCGGCUGAAAAUAAAAAUCUUACAAAUUGUAAGUAAUUGACAGUAUAAAGUUAAAUCAAAGAUAUUGAUCUUGUUUUAUAUAGUAUAAAGAAUUUUCUAUCAAAAUUUCACGUGAUUUGGAUAUUUCUACACCGUUAAACUUGCAAACGGCACACUACGGCCAUUGAAAUUUGUUGAUUUUGAGCCCAUUCGAUCACUAGGCAAAUGAUAUCGAAAAAUAAUAAAAUUUAUUUUCUAGGUACUCCAAAUACUCUAGAUCAAGUUUAACGCAGCCGAUCGACGAUUCGAAAGUCACAACAUCGAAAACGAGCUGGAAGCACGGAAGGCUCCGUACUUUCGAUAGCAUAGUAGCCUCACUAUAUAUAUAUAUAUAUAUAUAUAUAUAUAUAUAUAUAAAGAGAGAGAGAGAGAGUAUGGCUACUAUGCUAUUAGGCGCACAGCAGUCCUUAUGCUUUUAAAUUCGUAAUCAUUCAUCAAUUUUGAUAGAUGAUUUGAGUGAGAAAGAAAAGAGAAAUUCGAAAAGAAGAGAUAUUGAAAAAAAAAUCCAAAAAGAAGAAAAAUUGAGGGAGAAAUAAGAGAAACGGGUUAUUAAAACUAAUUAUCCAUCAAAAUUGAUUAGUGAUUAUGAACUUAAGAGUACAAGAACUAUUGUGCUCCUAAUAUUACAGUAGCCUUGCUCGCUCUCUCUCUAUAUAUAUGCUAUUCUAACACAUUAAAAAUUCAAUAAAAAUUAAAAUUAAAUUUAUACAUUCUUCAAUUCCAAUGCUUGAUUACUAUAAUUAGAAAAGAUAAAAUAGAUUUCUUUAUGUAAAGGUAUGCAAAAGUAAGUGCAAAAUAGACAAUCAAAACAGAUGUUCAAUUAAUAAUUUUCCUAUAGAAAAGUGGCCUAUUAAAUUAUUAAAAAUUUAAAAGGUUUAAUUGUUAAAAUUAAAAAUUCAAACGCUCAUUAGCGAAAGUGCUAAAGCUUAGGAGAUCUUUGAACACUUUUUCUCCCUGUUAACACUUGCUUGAUACGGAGGGUUGUCUAAUACUAAUAUACUAUUAAAAAAGUAGAGCAAAAAAAAUUUUUUUUUUUUUGGUGGGACUUUAGAACACAUAUGUUUGCUAAUUUUUUGCUAUAUAUAUAUAACACGUGAUAUUAAUUGAGUAGAGAAUAUUGUUGAUUUAACCUACCUACCAAACAUUUUUCGUACCUGAUUUGUAGUACAUUGUAGUUUCGUUAGGUUCAAUAUGCCAAAUCUAAUUAAGUACCUAUCAACAAUAAUUUCUAUUCUAAUCAAAAUAUUAAAAAUCAUGCUUCAAGUUGCCACAUCGAUAUCUUCAGGUGAGUAGUACUUAAGAGUGACAGGUAAACCAAAUUCAACCAUGAAUUUCGGUAUGUGGACCUAUCAAAAAUCCUACACAUUCAAAGGCUAUCAUGUUUGACAAUCUUAUUAACUUUUUAACUUUAAUACCAAAAAACUAAAAAACCAAUGUUAUCAAUAUACAAAAAGUUCAGGAACCUUUUUUCAAAAUAACCUUAUAUAUUUUAUAAUUGACUAAAUAACUCAAAAUUUAUUUGGCCAAAUAAUUUUUCUUUUGCAUGGCAGUUAAGCGCCACAGUGGAUGUGCCAAGCAGUACGUGAAUUUUUCGACGUAUUCAAGAAGGCAGUGAACGAUUUACGGCUGUGAGACCCCAGAUAGUCAUAUAUAUGAGAUAUAAUAUGGCUAAACUCUUAACCCGGCUUAAGCAUUUUGGGUGGUGGCAAGGCCCAAGAGGUUAAGAGAGUUAAGCGUGCUAGGACGGGAGCAGUCCUAGAAUGGGUAACCCCCUGGGAAGUUGGGGUGUCACAACGGCCUUCUAAAUUUUGUACGAAAAACGGUAAAUCGUUCGCUACUUUUCUAAAACGGUAAACACUUCACCAAUUCUCAGUUCUAAGUUUUACUUUAUAUUUGAAAUCAAAUAUCAAAUUCAAAUUUAUAUGUUUAAUUCAAAUUUAAAAUUUUAAUUCAAAUCUUUGAAUUUGAUUUUAGUUUCAAAUUUAUAUUUUGAUUUAAAAUAUCAAUUCAAGUUCACAUUCAGAUUUUAAAUUCAAAAUUUUAGUUUAAAUUUUAAAUUUUAAUUUUGAAUUCAAAUUUUAAAAGUUAAAAUUAAAAUUAAAAUUAAAAUUCAGAUUUUGAAUUCAUAUUUUUAAAUUCAAAGUCAGAUUUGAUUUGGAAUAUCAAUUCAAAUUCACAUUUAGAUUUUGAAUUAAUGAUUUCAAAUUGAAAUUUAGAUUCUAAUUUUUGAAUUCAAAUUUUGAAAUAUAAUUCACAUUUUGAAUAUAAAUUAUAAGUUUAAAUUUAGAUUUUGAAUACAAAUUCAAAUAUCAAAAUCAAAAUCCAAUUUCAAUUUCAAAGUCAAAAUUCAAAAUUUGAAUCUCAAUUCAAUUUCUAAUCCAGUUUUAAAAUUGUAUCUUUCAAUUCAAAUUCAAAAUUCUAAUUUCAAAUUCUUAGUUUAAAAUUAAAAUUUUAAUUUUAUUUGAGAAUUUGAAUCUAAAAAGCGGCGUUUAGGGUUUAGGGUAUCCACUUAAAAGUGGUGAAUUAUUCACCGUUUCACGAAGUUGGUAAACGAUUUAUCACUUUCGUAAGAAAUUUAGAAGGUGGUGAAUAUACUUAUCAAAUUCAUUCACCACAUUCUUAAAUACUGUGAACGAUUCACCGCUUUUAAUAUAUUUAUCCAAUACCAUGCCGAGUUGGCAACCAAAAGAGUAUUUAGCCAAAUAAAUUUUUUAGAAGGUUAUUUAGUUAAUUAUAAAAUUUUAUACAGUUAUUUGGAAAAAAAAAAGGACCAAAGUUAGAAUGUUAAUUUUACACUCUACUAAUCAUAUGUAAAGGUCCACACUAUGUACUAAUAUUGUUUUUUUUUUUUUGGGUACAAAAGCUCAAAAGAAUGUUAUAAAUCCUGGAAUGGUGGGUCUAAGAUAUGGAACCUAAUUAUACAUAGCAUUAUUCUUUCAGUUUUAGUUUGAAAAAUAAAAUUUUGGUUAUUUCAUGAAGGAACUCCCUAGUUAACAAUCGGCUCUCGCAAACUUGAUUUAGAGUAGUUAAAAUUUUUAAUAUUCAAAUCUAAUAAGUUACAGAUAUUAUUUAACUAAUAAUUGAAAUUAAUGGCACAAAAUUGACAAUUUUAAUAAUCAAUAUGAAUCAUUAAUUUGCAUGCUUAACAGUAUAAAAAUUACACUCUUUAAAUGAAAGUUUUACCAUUUGAAAAAUAGUUAUACUAUUUCUCCCCCAACGAGCACCCUUUGAGAUGAAAAUUAUAAUUUUCAAAUGAAAAUUACACUAUUUGGGAGCUAAUUACACUAUUUUCCUUCCAAAUAGUAUAAUUUACGUUUAAAGAAUGUAAUUUUCAUCUUAAAGAGUACAAUUUAUAUCUCAAAAAAUACAAAUUAUAACUAUAAUAGUGCAACAUUUUUCUAAGGGAUAAUUGCCUCUAUACCCCUCAAAACUUCGAAAAUAUCUCAUUUACCCCUACUUUUUUUUUCUUACCAAUAUACCCCUCAUAUAUACCCCCGUUAUUCCAAAAUAUCCCUGCAGUUACCACCUGUUACGUUAACUUGAAUUAAACGUGAGUUAAAUAUCUAUCACAGUUAAAAAAAAAAUAAAAUACUACUUCUGUCCUUAACUUAGGGGCAAAUAAGAAAUAUUGGUGAUGAUAGAAGGGUAUAUUUGAAAAGACCAAAAAGUAAAAUAUUUUUUGUGCCCCUAACUUAAUGGCAAAUAAGAAAAGUCGGUGAUGGUAGAAGAGUAUAUUUGAAAGGGCAAAAUGGUAAUUUCAUAGAGAUAACAGAGUUCAUUAACAGAUUUUAACUUUAGGGGUAUAUUAGAAAUAGGUUGGAACGUAAAAAGGGUAUUUUCCAUAUUAGCCUUUAAGAGGGGUAAAUCAGAAUGUCAGAAACUUUUCAGGGGUAUAUAAGCAAUUGCCCUUUUUUCUAAAAGAGCGUAACUUUAUUUUAAUAGUGCAACUUUAUCUUCUUCUUCCUUCUUCUCUAGUUCUUCUUCCUUACUCUCUAGGUUUUUAUUUUUAGUUAGUUUUUUUCAUUUUAAGCAAACAAAAAUACUUGACCAGAAAUGCUCCCGUGCACUCCCCGCCUUCGAUACUGCCGAGGCCACGCUCGUUGCUACUCUCUAGGACGCCGUGCUCACCGCCGCCCCGCCCUCUUUUCUGAUGUCGUCAUGCUCUCCUCUGUUUCCACCUCGCUCGUCGUUGGCCGUGGAUGGGCGCGGUGGGUCGUGUGUCCCCUCCCUCGCCAGCGAAUAUUUUGGCGCCGAGAAACGUUUCCUUUUCAUUGUCGUCAGCGGCGAUAAGGACAGCGAGUUCGUAGAAAUAGAUUUGGUGGGUGAAAAAUCUGCUGCAAUGGAGGUGGAGGUGAGUCGCAAAGGAUCACGGAGGUGGUGGAGGUUUGGCUAGAAAAAAAAAAAAAAAAAAAAAAAAAAAAGAUGAUCAUGGCGUAGCCUUGGUAGGGUUGGAGGCGAGGAGAGCGGGGGGUGAGCGAGCGCGGUCGAGGGCGCAUGGGGUGGAGGUGAGGAGGGGCGUCCCAAAGGGCGGCGGCGAGCACAGCCUUGGUGGGGUCGGAAGCGAGGAGGGCAUGUGGUGCGCGGACAAGGGCGAGGGCGAGGGCGAGGGCUCUCCGCCUCUCUCUUCCGAGAGGAAAAAAAAAUGAAAGAAAAAAAAAAGAAGAGAGAAAGGAAUAAGUGUAUUUUAGUCCAUUUUUGAAAAAUUCGAUCCGAAUUUGCAAAAUUGAAAAAGACGACUCAAUUUUACAAAAGCUCAAAACUUGUGAAUUUUUUAUGCAAAUUGGCCAUAUUUAAUACUAAACUACCACCUAACUUACAAAGCCAAACAGAAAGCCAACAUAAAAUAUGAAACAGUUCAACCAAUGAAAAACUAUACAAAUCAUGUUAAGGAUCUAAGUUUUCGUCUACACUAUACUUUAAUAUUAUUGUUAUUUAUUAUAUUUUUCUUAGGGUUAUUUGCAUACACGUCCCUGCAAACAUAGUGAAUUGCGAAAAUAUUCCUGCAAAACAGAAAUUCCAUAAGUUGUCCUUACAAAAGUCAUAAGUUAUGCAGAUAUGUAUCUCUGGUUAACAUCCGUUAGUGAACUAUUUAUUUUUUAAUAGUUUUAUUGUGAAAUGACCUUUUUGCCCUCACAAAUAUAUCCCUCCAAAAAUAUUCCUCUUCCCCUUCUCUUUUCCUUCCUCUUUGGGCUGCCGGAGCGGACGACGGUGGCGGCGCGAGGUCGGGUUCGCCAAUGACGAAGAAGAGGGAAGUGAAAGAAAGAGAGGAAGAAGAAGAGGGAAGAAGAAGAAGGAGAGGAAGAGGGAAGAGAAAGAUGAAGAGUGGGAGGGUUCGCCGCCGCGCGCCGUCGCCGCAUCUCCUCCCUCGGCGGCGACGAAGAAGAGGGAAUAGAUAGAGGAAGAGGAAGAAGAAGGGCGAAGAGGAAGAGGGAGAGGAAAAGGAAGAGGGAAAGGGCUCGCGGCCGCCGCCGCAUCUUCUCCCUUGCCGGCGACGAAGAAGAGGGAAAAAGAAGAGGGAGAGGAAGAAAAAGGGGAAGAGGAAGAGGGAGAGGAAAAGAGAAGAGAGAAGAGGAAGAGGGAGAGGGUUCGCUGCCGUCGCCGCCGCCGCCGCCACCGCUGUAUCUCCUCCCUCGCCAGCGACGAAGAAGAUGGAAGAGAAAGAGGAGGAAGAAGAAGAAGGGUAAAACUGUCAAUUCAUAAUUUAAUUAACUAUGGUUAAGUAUUUUAACCGUGGUUAAUAUAAUUUUUCUAACAAACCUUAAUGGUAGGAACAUAUCUGCAUAACUUAGGUCUUUUGCAGGGACAAUUUAUGCAAUUUCCGUUUUGCAGAGAUAUUUUCGCAAUUCACUAUGUUUGUAGGGACGUAUAUGCAAAUAACCUUUUUUUUUUAAUAGCGCCAUUGUAUUAUUAUAUUUUAUUAAUUUCUACAUUAUAUUUUAAAAUUAUUUUCGUUUUUGUAUCCUAUAAUAUUUUAGUUUGGAUUUUUUUUCGUUGAUUCUGUUUUAAUUUAGCUUGUAACCUAAAUCAAAUAAAUUAAAACAUGCAUAUCCCUAGUUCUAAAUAACUGCUGACACCAAAUAGAUUUCCCUAGUGACAACAAGAUUGCGAGCCCAACUCUUAAAGUACACGUGUCCUCGCUUAUGAAGAUCACAUUUAUUGGUGAGUAGCUCCCAGCCCCAAAUUUAUUUCAUGACAAAAACGUUUCUUGAACUUUGGAUUAAUUAAUUCGAUAAUAUCGCAUAAAGCUUCAUUUAGUGACAUAUUAUAAGCACCGACAUUGACCUACGAAAAAACGUUACCACUGUAAAAGGACUAAAACGACCUGUGAAGUUGUUUAAUUAUAUAUGUUAAUUUUAAAGGGCAAAAUUAUCACUCUGCAACAUUAAUAGAAACAGCGUGAUAUUAAAAAAAAAAAGAAAAUCAUAUAUCCACAUGGACACCCACCUUAGCAAGUUAAUUAUCUCCAGUCAUUAAAAUUUAAAAGUUAAACAGAUAAUAUCUUUUUUUACAUUGAGUUUUUCCUUUUUUUUUUCGAACUCUAUCCUACAUGUAUUUUAUCUUGAACUUUCUUAAUUUUACAAUUGUAUUUUAAUUAAGUUUUUAUCACCACAAGUCUAUUAAAUCAUAUAUAGAAAUUGCAACGUGGCCUAGUUUGAUGUUGCUACAUUAAAUGUUGUCUAAUUGCCUCUAAUAUAAGUAAUUUCUGGUAAAUUUAAAAACUUGUUGGUUAUAUAAAUUCACCUAAUAUGAUUAGUAUAUAUGUUAAGAGAGUUGGACUGGGCUACUAUCGAUAGUGAAUGAUAAAUGAUUUGGUUUGGUAUCGAUUUAUUUUCGAUGAUAGAAUUUGCAAAUCAAUGACCGGCAUCAUUGAAUAUGACCCAGACUAUGUAAACUAUUUAGAAAUCAAAUUUCAUACUUUUUUCAAUAUUACUAACCGAAUGAUCAAAAUGUCACAAAAUUUAUAAUUUUUCUUUUUUUUGAGAGAGAUAGGGAGCAUACUACCUGCUUCGUUUAUUUUAUUUAGAAAUAAACUUAGCUGGAAAUGUGAAUCAACUAGGAUUCGAACUUAGGUCUCGGGUACCAACCACAAAGCCCUUUGCUACUUGCUCUAGGGACGGUCGGUACAAAAUUUGUAAUUUGAAUGGCCAAUAAAGUGUGUUUGCUUGUUUAACGGUGUAGAAGAGUUCAAAUCAGCUGAAUUUCUAUCGAAUUUUUUUUAAAACUAUUUAAAGCAAGAUUUAGACUUUAGAUCUUAAAUAAAAAAAAUUAUAUCAACAUUUUUUAAAGAAUAUUUAUUUUCAGCCGUUCAUUUUAUGUUUAUUUCAUAGACAAGAGAACAAUAUCGAAAAAGUAUAAAUUUAAUUUUCAGAUAGUUUAAAUUAUUCUAGAUCGUGGUCAACGGAGUCGAUCGGCGAUUUGAGAGCUCUAUCGUCGAAAAUAAAUCAGUAGUAAAUUGAUAUGCUUACUACCGAUAAUAUUUUAGUAGAACUCAUAUUAAGAAUUAAACUAAAAGACAACCCCUAACAUAAGUGGCAAAAGAUUUGGUGGCUGGUACCCGAGAUUCCAAAUUUGAAGUCUAAUUGCUUCACAUUUCCAGCUAAGUUUAUUUCUAAAAAAAUAAACGAAACGGAUAUCAUGCCAUCUUUUUCUAAAAAAAAAGAAUUAACCAUAAAAAGUUAAAGAUUGAAAAUUAAUAUUAAAAUAAAUGGCGCAAUGUACCCUUUACUUAUUAAGGGGCUCUUCGAUUGCAUGUAAUUAAGUACUUCUACAUUAUAAAUCUCGAAUUUAAACAAAAAAAAAAAAAACUUUGCUAUCUAAUUAUUCGUUAAAUAACAAAAAAAAAUGUAAAUUAUUUAAAAUUAUUGUACUCAAUAAUUGUUAUAAGAUAUAUACGGCGUUAGGAACUGUUUCUAUCAAAUUUUUGUUGUAAGCAAUUACGUGCAACAAAACAAUUCAAAGAUUAAUGAGACGGCUCCAAUUACGGAACUGUUGGCAACGCGGGGACCAUCCAUUUAUUUUUCUAUUUCUCCGCACCCGCCUUUGUAUGCGCCCUACGGCACCUGGGCACCGCCGCCGAUCAAUCAGGUCCGUCCAUCCGAAACGGACGACGGUUGAUGCCGAAGUCGAGGCUUUACAUGCUCCCAUCCGUCUCGAUCCGCGCGAUUGCGUGGGGGCCCAUCGCGUCCGUCCCCCUCGGCGUGGGGCCCGCGACAGUUGGACGGUCGUGAUCGGCUCUGGCGCCGCUCGUUUGUCGCGUUCUUGUGUCCUGCGCCGCGUGGGACGCGCGUGGGUACGCAGAGGGGGAUGAGUCGUUUUGGUUAGAAAUAUCUAUGCAUUUCUAACGGUCUUUUGGGUGCGCGGAUACUUGCAUGGGAAGACGAGUUCGGGAUAGGGAUGCAAAUGGAUCCGGAUUGGUGGAGCUCCGCCCCGAUCCGUCCCGAAUGGGGUGGUAAGUGGGAAUAAAAAAUAUAAAAAAAUAUAACCCGUCUCGAAUCCGUCCCGAUCCGCCAAGUAAAUGGAGCGGGAGGUGGGAGACUCUUUUCUUCCUUCAAUCCGUCCCGAUCCGUCAAAAAUCCGGCUCCCGCCCCGAUCCGCCCCGAAUUGAGCGGUAAGUGGGAGCUAAAAAUAAAAUGAAAAGUAACCCGCCCCGAAUCCGCCCCGCCCCGAUAAGAAAUGGACCGGGAGGUGGGGGAACUCUCCCGCCCCCGGAUCCGCCCCGUUUGCAUCCCUAGUUCGGGACCUGUUGAUGUAGAAUUAUCUAAUAAUAAUAGGAUUAAUUUUACUGACCGUUCCUAAAGCAAGUGGUAAAGAAUUUGAUGAUUGGUAUUCGAGAUCUAAGUUCGAAUCCUAACUGAUUCAUAUUUUCAGUUAAGUUUAUUUUUAAAUGAAAUAAACGAAGCGGGUGGCGUACUAUCUAUUUCUCUCAAAAAUAAUAGGGUUAAUUUCAUUUGUAACCACACAGAUUUAUAGAAUAUCAUAAAUAUUCUUCAAAUUUUUAAAAUUUCUCUAAAUACAAAUUUCUUUCAUAAAUACCCUCACUGUUAUUUUUUUCUAACUUUUGUCAACUUAGCUUUUUUUUUUUAUUUUACUUCAAAAUAUGAAAUUAUCAAUUUACUCUUAAUUUGUUCACUAUUUAUUUAAAGAGUUAAUUUCAUCCGUAACCCUCUAAAAAAAUAUCAUAAAUAUCUCUAUAAAUUUUGUUAUAUUAUAAUUAUCCUUCUAAAUACAUAUUUUCUUUCAAAAAUACCCUCGCCGUUAUACUCCGUCUUUUCAAGUCAUAUUAACUUUAGUUAGAUGGCGACCUAACACGAGUUAAAAUUUGAAAUGUUUAUUUUGCCCAUGAGUAGAGGAAUUUUUGGAGGAUAUAUUAAUUAUAUAAUUUAUUAUUUAAUCUCUCAGUUUCGUUCAUUAUUUGUUAUUAACAUAUGUUUUAACAUUGUUUGCUGAUAUUCUUUAGUACUAUUUACCUUCUAACUUUUGUCAAUUAUUUAUUAUAGUUAGUUAUAUUUAAAUUUUUAGUUAACUUAGAUUGCUCUUUUAGCUAUUACUUAUUAUAUAUUUUUUCUUUUAACUUCUAGGAAGUAAUUGAAAUUAUUAAAUUUGUCGGAAUCAUCAAUGGAUUGAUAAAAUCUCUAAUUUAAUUGACAAAAAUCAAUCCAAUUUUAAGGAACCAAAUAUUAAGAAUACUUUGAUAAAAAAAAAAAUAAAUUAAGGGGCUAUUCGUAAUGUAUAAUAGUUAAGAAAAUCUCUAUAUAUUAACCUUAAAAAAUUUGUGAGAGUAUUGAUGAAAAUGCAUAGAGGGUAAAUUCGGUGUUUUGAAUCUGUUAUACUUAACAUGACGGAGUAAAAGCUAUGAGGGCAUUUUUAAAAUUUUUUAUAUUUUUUGAGGGCAAAUAUAAAAUUUCAAAAUUUUAAAGGGUAUUUAUGAUAUUAGAGCUAUUUGGAAGGGUACUGACGAAAUUUUUCAAUAAUAAUAAUAACAAUAAUUUAAGUAAAAAUUUACAAAAUUUGUCUAAAUUAUAAAUUAUUUUAAACCAGCUAUUCAAAUUUUAAACAUUUAAUUUUACUAUCUAAUUUUAAAUUUAUAUGUUUUGAAUCUGUCAAAUGCAUUUUGACUUCAAAAUAAAUUAAUUACUUAACUUAAUGAGUUCAUAAUUAUAAAAAUUACACGAAGCAUUCUAUCUAAAUCUGCUAAGAUAAACAACUCAAAUUUUAAAAUCAGAGUAUUGUUUACUAACACGUUAUCAAACAAAUUGAAUAGAAAAAUUAAAAUUUUGAAAUGUUGGAUAUCCAAAUCAUAAUGGUUCAUACUUUAGGUAAGUUUUGUACACUUUACCAAUAAUUUAUUCAUUAUGCAUUAUUUUUAUGUGUUUGAAAAAUAGGAGUUUAUAUUAUGCUUCUUUGAAAGCCUUGAUGUUACAUACCGUCCUGAUGCAAGUGGCAAAAGGUUUCGUGUUGGUACCCGAUGUCCCAAGCUUGAAUCCUAGUUGAUUCACAUUUUUAGCUAAGUUUAUUUCUAGAAAAAAAUAAACGAAGCGGGUAGCAUGCUACCUAUCUCUCUAAAAAGAAAGCCUUGACGUUUAUGAUUUUUUAGGAUAGUACCUUUUAGAUCAAUUUGCAUAAAAAAUUCAUUAGUUUUAAGCUUUUGCCAAAAGUAGGCUGUCUUUUCAGAUUUAUAGAUUCGUGCUAGAUUUUCAGAAAACUAACCAAAAUACCCUUAUUCUCUUUUCUCUCUCCUCUUUUUUUCUCUCGUUAUUUUUUUCUUUCUCGCCAAAAAGAGCUGCGGAAGCGGAGGCGGAGGCGGAGGCGACACGUGCCCUAGCCCUCAUCCGCGCACCCUCGCUCCCGCCCGCGCACCCUUCCUCCGCCUUCCUUAUCUCCGACCCCAUCGAUGCCACACUGCGACUUUCUUAUUUUUUAUCUCCGACUCUCCUCCACCGCCUCUCCGGUUCUUCACAACAGUAAAGAGGGCAAUGUCACGUUCUCUUUAUUUCAUUUUUUUCUCUCAUUUUUUUUUCUCUUCGACCUACCUCCACCGUCUCCAUGACCCUCCGCGAUAAUAACGAGAACAGCGCCGCAUCCUCUUCCUCGGCCUUCAUCACCGCCAACGUCGACGCCGGUGCGGGUGCCGAUGCUGGAGAAGGAGAACUCGAGCGAGUGCGGAUAAGAGUGGAGUUGAGGAAACAAAAUACAGAAAAUAAAAAUAAUAAAAUAUAAAAUAUAAAAAAAAUAUUUUUUUCUACAAAAAAAAUAAAGAAUCAGAGAGAGAAGAAGAAGAUGAUUAAAUUGCACUGUUUCAAGGGAACGUUGCGCUGUUUUAGAAAAACGUUGUGCUAUUUUAGAGAAAACUUACACUCUUUAAGAAGAAAGAAGAGGAAGAGGAGAAACAGUGUAAUUUUUUUUAAAAAAGUGCAACUUUCGUUUAAAGAGCGCAAUUUUCAUUCAAAGAGUGUAACUUUCAUCUAAAAAAAUGUAAUUUUUUUUUUAAAGAGUGUAAGUUUUCUCUGAAGCAGUGCAAUAUUCUCUUGAAUCAGUACAACGUUCUCUUAAAACUGUAUAACAUCAUCAUCUUCUUCUUUUCUCUCUAAUUCUUUAUUUUUUUUGUAGAAAAAAUAUUUUUUCUUUAUGUUUUAUUUUUUAUUCUUUUUAUUUUUUUAUUUUCUUCAUCUUUUUUUCUCGUUUCCGCUCUAUCCGCACUCACUCCGAGUUCUUUUUCUUCAACGCCGGCAUCGAUGCUAUCGCUGGUGAAGAUGGAUUAAGAGGAUCCGGCGUUGUCUUCGUUACCGUCGUAGAGAGUCACAGAGAUAGUGGCCAUCGAAGAGAAAAAAAGAAGAAUGAGAGAAAAAAAGAAGAGGAAGAGGACAUGACGUUGCCCUCUUUACUGUUGUAAAGAACUGAGGAGGCGGUGGAGGAGGAAGGUAGGAAAGAAAAAAAAAAAAAAAAAGUCGCGGAGUGGCCUUGGCGUGGUCGGAGGCGAGGAAGGCGGAGGGAGGAUGCGCGGGCGAGGGUGAGGGCGAGGGCGAUGGCGUGCAGAGUAAAGGCGAAGCGGCUGCCUCCGCCUCCGCCUCCACCGCCCUCUUCAAAGAGAGAAAAAAAAAAAGAGAGAGAAAAAAAAAGAGGAGAGAGAAAAGAAAUUAAGGGUAUUUUGGUCAGUUUUAUGAAAAUUCGGCCCGAAUAUAUAAAAUCCAAAAAUAUGACCUACUUUUGCAAAAACUCAAAACUAAUAAAUUUUUUAUACAAAAUUGGCCUAUCUUUUUUACCUAUGGAAUGUUUUAUUUUAUUCAAAAAAAUGUUAUAUAUUUCUUGAGUAAAUCAUACUCUUCACUUAUCAAACUCUAUAUACUUCUUGAGUAAAUAAAAAAAAUAUCAAAUAAAAUAUUUAUGCAUCAAAACAUGGCAAAACAUGACAUCUGAUUAUACUUUCCUCUUCCAAAUACAAAAGGUCAAUUCUGAAUGAAUCAAAAAGAGCUUAGUCCAAUAAAAUUUUCAUACAUGUGAGCUCUCCGCCAUUUAUAUAUAAACAGCUAAACUAUCAACCAAUCAUGCAUGAUAUUUUACAAAAUUGAAUCACUAACUAUAAUUUGAAGCUAAUAUUUUCAAACACCAUAACAUUUUGCUAAGAUAAUCAUUGGAAACGAGCACGUUAUGCAUGAAAAUGAUUGGAGAGAGACUAGUCAUUCGAUGAGGAGACCCACAUUUUCAGACCUAACAAGGAGGAAGCACAGUAACUAUCCCUCUCCUUCGUUUUGUCCUUUGCCUCUUUAUACUAAUGGCCCUCCAUUGAUGCAACAUACUGCGUAACUAACCUCUCCUUAUCCAAUAAAAAAUAUAUGGGAUAAUUAAUUACAUAUUGAUCGUAAAGUAAAUGAUGUUUAAGAAUUAUAAAAUUUAAUUUCUAAAAAUUUUAAAUGCUCUAGAUAACGUUUAACGAUAUGGAUCGUCGAUUCGGAACCUCUAUCAUCGAAAAUGACUUAAGAAUACGAAGACGAUUGUACUCAUAAAAGUAUAGUAGCUGGAUCUAUCUAUCUUUAUAUGUUUGAUCUCAAAAUUAACAUUCAUGUAAAUUCUAAAAACUUUUGAAUAUAUUGUUAGGGACCAAUCAAGCACCAUUAUCCCAUUAUCCUCCACGUUGCUAACAUUGAAUUAGUGAUUAAGAAUAUUGUAAAACGAAGGGAAUAGAUUAAACCGUUUUAAUUGAUUAGUUGCAAAAAAUGUUAAUGAAAUUAACUUAAUCUUCUUCUUUUUUUGAGAGAGAGAUAGGUAGCACGCUACCCCGCUUCGUUUAUUUCAUUUAGAAAUAAACUUAGCUAGAAAUGUGAAUCAACUAGGAUUCGAACUUGGGCCCCGAGUACCAACCAUCAAGCCCUUUGCCACUUGCUCUAGGAAUGGCCAAUGAAAUUAACUUAAUCUUAAUACUUGUAUUAAGCAUCAGGACUUAAUUAAUGGCGACCAUACUAGAUCAUAUAAAAAGAUUUGACUAGUUAAUUUGAAAUAUACUUUAAAGUUCAUGGACAUUUGGAUGAUAUUUUAAAGUUUGACCGACCAUCCCUAGAGCAAGUAGCAAAGGGCUUGAUGGUUGGUACUGAGGUCCCAAGUUCGAAUCCUAGUUGAUUCACAUUUCUAGCUAAGUUUAUUUCUAAAUGAAAUAAACGAAGCGGGUAGCGUGCUACCUAUCUCUCAAAAAAAAAAAAAGAAAAAAAAAGAAGAUAUUUUAAAGUUUGAGAGAUAAUUAUGCAAUUUCUUAAAUUCAGAGGAAUAUGUAAUUGUAACUUAAUUGCAAUCUGUGACACCCUAAUAAUCCCACAUCGGGUAGUUAUGACUAGAUGUGGGAAUAUAUAAGUUUGACUAGACUAAAUAUAAUAACUGAGUUUAAGAAUUUUGGGCUGGUGAUAUGGGCCCAACGAGUUAUUAUUGCUAGUGGGUUGGAUCGUUAUAUUUGGUAUCAGAGCCAAUUCACCAGCCGAAAGUGUGAGAUGAAUCUUGGCUGAGCCAGAGUCGGUGAAUGACAGGCUAAGUCAGAAUCAGAACGACAAGGCUAGCGAGACAAGUUUCACAGUUUUGUUAGUUAAUUCGCGAAUUAUUUAUUCAUGAAUUAUUGAAAAUAUUUAUUCAUGGAUUAUUGAAAAUUCGAAUUAAACUGUCCGUUUACGAAUUAUUCGCGAAUUAUUAAAAAUCUGAAUAAAAAAUUAAUAAUUUUUAUAUUUAAAUAUAGAUUAUCUUAUAUCUUAUAUUUUAUAUUUUAUACCGAAUCUAUUUUUUAAGCCGAAUUUUUCAACGAAUUUAAAAAUUAAAAAAUAAAUUUUAUGCGUAUUAUACCGAUACCGAAUUUUUGGCGAAUCAGAAUUGCAUACCAUUUCGUACUCAUGAUUAUGAUGGAUAAGGAAAUAUUUGUGGUCCAUACAAAGGGUGGUGAGCUAGAUCUUCCUCUUAGUCUAGUGGACAUUUAUUUAUUUUUUCUUUCUCAAGGUGAACAUGUUGAACUGUUGUAUAAUUGAUUAUUAUUUUAUAGGCGAAAUCAAAAGUAAGAGAUCUUAAGUUUAGGGUUAAAUAUAAAAUGAUAGUCUACUUCUUGAGCCUAUUGAUUGAGUGUUAAAAUAUAAAAAGUUUAAACUAUACUUCUACAUUAGCAAUAAUAAUAUUCUAAUUUAUGGCAUUCUAGUCCCACGAUCAAUUUAAUUAAUUAAAUAUUGACAUAUCGAUAAUGUAAAAGUGAUAUGUGAGUGUUGUAAUUGAUAAUAUGUAAUAGUAAUUAAGAUGGUACAUUAUUUUUAUGUCAGCAGUAUAUUAAUAUUUAGCCAACUAAAUUAUAUUAUGGAAGUUUGUUUUUGUAAUAUAUAAUUUCGGGAGUUGAAGCAAAAUGUUACCCAUACUUUUGAGGACAAAAAUGUAGUUUAGCUAAUAUAAAAUAGGAAAAGUCUACCUGUACCUAUAAAAUAUGGGGAUGAUUGCAAAUAUACCUCUCAAUACUUUUGAAAUAUCUUAUGAAAAAUGCUUCUUGUAGACCCCAAAAAGGGGUGUAGAUCUUACACCCGCUAUAUUAGGGUUGAUAAAAACCGAAUUGAUUUUUAGUAAAAUUUAAAAAAAACUGAUGUAAUAAAAAUUACCUUAGAAUGAAGUGGGUGUAAAAUGUACACCUCACUUUAGGCUGUAUAUGUAGUAUUGCUCAUAUCUUAUUUACCUAUACUUUUUAUGGUCCUUUAUUCAAAAAUAUCCUUACUGUUAGUACCCGUUAAGUUAUCUUGUAUUAAAUCCGAGUUAUAUUUCUACCAAAGUUUUUUUUUUAAAAAAAAAUCAAAAUAUCUCUUUUGCCCCAUGACUUAAGGACAAAUAAAAAAAGUUGGUGACGAUGUAAGAAUAUAUUUGAAAGAGAACAAGUCAAAAUAUUUUUUUUGUCCCUAACUUAAGAACAAAAAAGAAAAGCUAGUAACGGUGGAAGAUUACAUUUGAAAGGAUAAAAUAAUAAUGUUACAGGGAUAACGGUUGUUCCUAAUAGUUCAAGUAAUAAAAUCUAUCUACAGGCGGGGUAUAUAUUUAAAAGAAUUUAGAAUAUUAAAAAAAUAUUUUUAAUAUUAGCUUUCUGGGCUUGCUAAAUAAGAAAGUUGAAAAUUUUUCAGGAUUAUGUAAGCACUGGCCCAUAAAAUAUUAAUAAGUUUAGAACCGACUCACCGGAAGAAGUAUUAAAUAUAAAAAUAUUUUAGAGGCAAUUUCUAACGUGCCCCUCAAAAGUUACAAAAUAUUAUAGGGGCAAUCAAGGGUAGAAGGAAGGAUAAAUAUGAAAUUAAUCCAAUAUUAUAAGUGUAAUAUUGUUCUCUAACAGUUUAACUGUUUAAGUAUUUGAAAAUAAUCAUUUAUAGGGAUUAGGGGUUGUUUAAUUCCUAUGAAAAGUGUGAAAAAGAAAGUGUUCUAGGAUAAAAGUUUUUCAUGAUUUUCUCUUAAAAUUUGAAAAAGAAAAAACAAACUUUUCAAAAUAGCUAGUUUUUUUUUUUUUUUUUUUUUUUUUUUUUUUUUUUUUUUUUUUUCCGAAGAUCGAAAUACCUCUGUAUUUUUUUUACGUAAUUUAUUCUUACUCUCUUGGAUAUAAAUUAUGACCACUAUUAAUAAAAUCUUAUAACAAGUUACAAUAUUUAGGUAAAAAUGUAUGAACUUAUCUGUGCUGCAGACUACUUUGCUUCGAUUAUCUCAUCUCUCAAAAAUUUAAUUUUAGUAUACUGCCCUUCAAUUUAUUUAAUUUAGUUCAUUUGAUGAUAAUUUUGGGAAAAAAUUUAAGUUAAUUACGUAAUUUAAUAGAUUUAUAGUUAUAUGAAUUGAAUUAAAUAUAUUAAUUAUAUCGGUAAAAAUAAACAUCACAAUUAAAUUUAAAAAUUUAAAAUUUAUUAACUAAUUCAAAUUAAAUUAAUUAUUUAAAUUAAUAUUUUAUAGAUCAGAUAGUCCGAUCAAAAUAGACAAUGAGUGAAAUAAAUUUUUUAUCUAUUGUCCUAUUAUUUAGUUAGUUUACGACACGAAUGACGUUGAAGGGCUUAAAUGAUCAAUAAUUAACCCUAUUACAUACCAAGAGUUUGUUCGGAAAGACAUGUUAAAACAUUCGCACAUUGCCAGUGGAGACAAACAUUUGUGACAACCAUGCACGGAAGUUAGGAACCAAAACCCAAACUCUCUUUAUGUAAUGUAGGGUGGGUCACGGUCUUUAAUAGUCGGCUUAAGUGGGUGUUUGGCUGAACUUUUGAAAAAUAAUUUUGGAAUUCAAAAGUGAUUCUCGGCUCAAUACAACAUUCGAUAAUCUUAUUUUCCACUGAUCGUCCGUUGCGCAAGUGGCAAAGUACUUGUGGUUGGUAUCCCAGGUAACAAGGUCGAAUCCUAAUUGAUUUAUAUUUUUCAUCUGAUUUUGAUGUUUAAAAUUAGUUUUCGAAUUUUCGAGCUUCAAAAUCAGAAGCAGCUAAAAUCUACUUAUUGAAAUCCGAUACUGAUUUUAAACCUAAAUUUAAAAUUUAUUUUAAUUUUAGAUUGAAACUUUACAUUAAAUUCGAUUGUUUAUUUUUAAUUGUUAAUUAUAUAUUUGAAUUUCUAAAUUUUAAAUUUUAACUUUUAGAUUUCAAAUUUAAAAAUUUAAAAUUUUAAAUUAGAUGUUAAAUUUUUAAUUUUUAAUUUCAAAUCUCAAAUUUAAAUUUUCAAAAUUCAAAAUUAUUAAAUUUCAAAUUUUAAAUUUAAGAUAAUAUUUAAAAUUUAAAAUUUAAAAUAAAUUUAAAAUUAUAAGUAAAUUAUAAAUUUCAAAUAUUAAAAUUUAAAUUAUAAAUUUUUGAAUUUUUAAAUUUCAAUUUAAAAUUUAAAAUUUAAAAUAUAAAUAUUCAAAUUUAAAAUUAAGAUUUCAAAUUUCAAAUUUAAAAUUAAACUUUUGAUUUAAAAAUUCAAUUUUUAAUUUUUAAUUUUUAUAUUUCAAAUUUAUAUUUUAAAUUAAAAUAUCAAAUUUCAAAUUUUUGUUCAAAUUUAGAUUGUAAUUUUAAAUUCAAAUUUUAAACUAUUUUAAAAUAAAAUUUAGUAAAAAUAUUUUUAUUUGCAAAAAUCAAAAUAUUUUUUCAAACAACUUUACAAAUUACUUUAAAAUAUCACUUUCCAUCUAAACUUAACCAAACGCUUCUGUCACGACCCGGAUUAUUCGUUUCCCCGAGCACGCUAACAGACCCGCCCCGCCGUAUACAUAGAAAUUUUUUCUAUAUACGAAGCGAUAGCUGUACCUAUAACUGUAAUCAUACAACACUACAACCAGUAGUAUAGAGCUGCUAAAAAAGAAAAUAUAUAUAAAUAACAGCGGUUCAACAUACAUACGAAAUAUCCUGAUACAGAAAUGAUCGCUCUAGCGAGUUACUAACAUCAGUAUGUACAAGAACCAAAACUAACACUACUUGCAGGAAGUACUCCUCUAGCUCUGCAACUUGUCAGGAAGGGCUCUAACUCGCAACACUCUUUCCAUGAUCAGUAACAACAGUAGCAGCAGCGGCAAACGAAAGCUCUACAAAAGAUCCACAACUGGAUGUGAGAACUACUGCAAAAAGUAGUAGUUCUCAGUGGGUACCGCUACCGACCUCAACGGCUCACCCACUAAGUCUACAGAAGGUAUGCUUAAUGAUAGUAAGGAACUGGAAACAAUCUACAGCUAUAUGCCACUAUACUAUCAUAAUCCAACACUAACUAUCUGUAGAACAAUGUAAUCUCUGACCCAAUCUCACUAGGGACUGUGAAUACACCCGUCCCGCCUGUCGAAGCUACACUAACAACCACCACGCUGGCUAGUCAAUGGAGACCAAGUCCAACCAGGACACAACGACACCAACGCAACAGCACUAAGCCCGACUUCGGAGUGGCACUCGUGGACGCUACCCAACCAAGUAUGCAAGCGUAUUUCUGCCGAGCUCAAUCAGGCUCUCACGGGCUAUAGUCAAAGUAACCAGGGUCUAACAACCAACUCACAUGCCCUUGGUACAAUUUGAUGCAAAAACAGCAAUUUGGGUCCACCGUCAACCUCAACGGCACCCGACAGUCCGAAACAGCCUAAACACUGCUUUAAAAAUAAGCUCGACAUCUCAGCACGAGUGUAACUAUAUUCUACACUAUUCUGGGUAUCCACCGCCCACAAACUGCGGCGAUACAAACAAACUACGACUUCUAGAGCUAAAUCUGAUAGUUUUAACAAAUGACGGUGUAGAAUCGCUAGUUUUCUCCUAAGUCAAUUCCAAGUCCAACAUAUAUAUUUAAACUAACAUUUUAAGCUCCAAAAUUCAGAUUUCAAUAAGCAUGCAAACCCAUUAAUUUGAGCUAAUUAACAUGAUAUACAACUACCAACAUACAUGCUGACAACAACUAAACUUAGGAGGAAAUCCAAAAAUUCCGGUAGCUAAUCAUCAACCCACCUAUAGCGCUUAAUUCACGACAGCGAGAAGUCACCGGAAAACCCUGCCAAGCUCAGCCACAAACCAGCAACAAGCCUCUCUAAGGAUCUAACACAAGAACACCAAAAUUGCAUUAAUACCCUCAAAUUUCAGCACCUAAGCUUAAAUUCUCGAAUUCCAAUGUCAAACUCACCUUCGAAACUUCAAAUCAGGUGAAGAAACAUCCCAAAACCAGUGGAGGUGAUAGAGUAACACUCUCUGGUCCGAAAUCCAACUUCCUCCAAGAUUCGAUCCAAGAAAACCAAAGAAAUCUCAAUUUCAGCUCAAAAACACCAACAGCACAGAAAAUCACCAAAUUGACAAUACAAACCUCAAUCAAAUGCUGUCAAAAUGGCCUCUACGAAAUCUCCAGGAAGUUAGCUAACCAACAAACUAAGUUUCGUUGCAAUCCGACCUUCCUACGUCGCACAUGAGCCAAAACGCCAAAGGUCACUCCUGGAAUUCUGCUGAAACAGCAAUCCUCAAGGUGGAAUUGUGCAAAUUGGAGAAUUUAGAGGGAUUGGAAUGCAAUUGUAGGCUUCACUGUGAAGGAGAUGUGAAAAAGCUUCUCAGGGGUCGAAUACAAGCUAUUUAUAAUGAGGUGAAAGGGUGAAGUAAGCCUCAAGAAUAAGAGAUGCUAACCUACUGUUCCUGCAGAAAACAUGACUUUCGGGCGCCCAAAACCCAUUUCUGGGCGUCCGAAAUCUCCAGGCUAUACAAACACUCCUCUUCGGUUCCUCCGCCCGCGGUAUGAUGCACCCAAAACCUGGUUCGGCGGACCUCACCUAACACAAGACACGUGUCAGCACAGCCGAUAUUCCCAAAGUGAAUUUUCGGACCCACAUCUGGACGCCCGGAACACAGGAUCUGAAUUGGCUUCUAGUUCAGUUCAAUUUAGCACUCAAGAUCUGGGCGACCCAAAUCAUGUUUUAGGCGCCCGAAACUGGCAAAACUCCAGUUUUGCUUAUUUGAGUGCGCCAAGUCCAUUUCUACAUCCAUUUCAUGCAGANGGAUCUGAAUUGGCUUCUAGUUCAGUUCAAUUUAGCACUCAAGAUCUGGGCGACCCAAAUCAUGUUUUAGGCGCCCGAAACUGGCAAAACUCCAGUUUUGCUUAUUUGAGUGCGUCAAGUCCAUUUCUACAUCCAUUUCAUGCAGAAACGACUCCGACUCAGUCCGACACUCUCCAGAUGUGUUGGCCAGUCACUAAAACUGAAACCAAUCCGAUAUGAAACCCUCGGGACACUACAGCUUUAGCCUGUUUCGGCAAUUUCAGAAACUCGAUUUGACAACAUUCUGUUUUAGUGAUCCUUUAGCUUUUGUUGUCGGUUGUUGCUGCCCGGGGCACCUGUUUUGGUGUAUUUGGUGACAACGAUUAGUUAUAAUUGGGAUCAGGGUUUUCCAGAGCUGUUUAUUUGUCCCGAAGGCGUUCCGGCAAGUUUCGGAAGUUCGAGUGGGUUUUCGAUUAACGGUUCCAGUAACCGUUUGCUUGAUUUGUUUGAGAUUCUCAUUUGGGUAGUGCAUGACUCAAUAGAUCUUUCAUAAGUCCGAGGGCAGCUUCGCGUGGUCUGCACUCCAUGUUCUUGGUGGUACAAGUGGAUGCUUCGAGCUAGUAGUCGGUGAGAUUGUUUCACUUUCCUUUUCCCUGCUAUUGCACUUGCUUAUCAGUAUCUUAAUCUCUACAUGUCGGUUGCCUUUGUUCACAGUUUGUUUAUCUAUAUCUUGAUAGUUGCAUGGUGAUAGUUGUUUGUAGACAUGUAGAGUAGACUUGCAUAUAUUGUACAUCUUUGAACCUCGGCCCAGGCAACACAUCGACUCCUUUGUCACGUGUUUCGAUCUAGUUGACCAUGAUUCGGCGUUGUACGCCCUUAUAUCUGGAUUCUGCCAAGGUACCGAUUUUCUGCCGUCUUUCACAUUGAGCAUAUCAGCAUGAUUUAGUUACAGCACUGUGUGUAUUUCUAGACACCAGGUCGAUUUGGCCACCGACUAGGGAUGUACUUAUUCAGAUGGGUCGUCAGUGGACGCGUGAAUCAGGUCAGUGUAUGCAUUGUGACAGGCAACGCUUGAGGUCUGCGGACCAAUAUGGCAACCACCGGAUUGGGUUUGGUUUGGAUUAUUUACCUUUGAGGCAUCUGUUCAGUUGAGAUUCUGAUACAGUAGUAGCUUUAUAACUUGCUCAUUUACAAUUCUGUUAUUACUACUGUUGUUCACUUAUUUAUCAUGUCAUUUUCAUGUAUACCUAUUAUUCUAUCUCUUUUAUUUUUCAGUGAAUAUGAUUUGCCUUCGUGGCUUUGUCGUACCCACUGGAAAACCUUGUUGUGGUUUCUCACCCCCUCUUUUCUCUAGGUGGCACGAGUGACGAGUCGGUUCAUGGUGCGACGGGAAGACGUCCUAGUUAGACUGCAUUAGCAGUCGUCACCCUGAUUAUUUUUCUUUCUGUAUUUAGUUGUUUAAAUAAAUGAAUGGUUCAGUUAGAUGAUCAUUGAUAUUGCUUGAAUAAUAACAGUGGAUCUGUAUGAACUUGAGAUUUCUAGUAUGCAUGUUCUCGUGUUUUCUCUAGGUAUUUAGUAUUUGGAUUAUGGAUUCAUGCCUUGUGGUUUUCUACCGCUCGAGGUAGUCGGUUUUCAAAGAUUGAGUUUUCGUGUGGAAAACAAUUUUAAAAAGUUUUCGAAUGUUUUUAUAGAUGAACAAUUAGAGUUUAAAAAUAAAGUUUCCGAGUGGGGAGCACUUUUAAAUAGGAUGAUUGUUGUAUUGUGUAUCACAUCAUCCAGCGCCUAAGGAGAGUUUAGAGGCAUACAUCUGUGACACCCCAAUAGUCUCACAUUGGAUAGUUAUGGCUAGAUGUAGGAGUAUAUAAGUUUGAUUGGGCUAGAUAUAAUAAAUAGGCUUAAGCAUUUUGAGCCGAUUAUUUGGGCCCAACGAGUUAUUAUUGCUAGUAGGUUGGGUGGUUACAUUUGGUAUCAGAGCCAGUUCACCAGCCGAAAGUGUGAGAUGAGUCUUGGCUGAGCCAGGAUCGGAAUGAUAGACUAAGUCAGGGUCGGUGAUUGAAAAGCUAAGUCAGGGUCGGAAGGACAAAAGCUACUGAGACAAGUCUCACAUUACCUGGUGAUCUUGGGUUGUGUGUGUGUUUAAGGCUGACGAGGAUGUCAGGGCCUAAACGGGGGGAGUCUGUAACACCCUAAUAGUCCCAUAUCGGAUAGUUAUGGCUAAAUAUGGGAGUAUAUAAGUUUGAUUGGGUUAGACAUAAUAACUGGGCUUAAGCGUUUUGGGCCGAUUGUUUGGGCCCAACGAGUUAUUAUUGCUAGCGGGUUGGGUCGUUACAACAUCAUCUCUUAGAAUGGUUAGCUAUAUGGAAAUGCAUCGAAUUGAUUGUUUGUGGAUUGGUGAAUGUAGGUUGUAAGUUGGAUCCUUUUGAUGUUGUCGUUGGGUACGCCGUGCAAAUACAAAAAGACUCUGUGCCUAUAUUUCGACCCAGACGCUUUCGGGAUGCUCCAAAUAACCAACGAAUGGCAAGGGAAGAAAUGCAAUUGGGUCCAGGGUUGGGUCGAGCGGCCCUAUUUAUUAUUAUAGGCGAUAAUAAACGUUUUCUGAUUGGGUUGCCGGAGAGGAUUCGUUUUGGAUGGGUGCUCCAGAUGGCGAAAUGCAACAAGGAACGAGCGCCACACGGGUUUUGCCUUUGCGAAAACUUAAUCUGUGACACUUGGGAACGUGAUAAUCAUCUAUUGUAGGAGCUCUCACUCAGCCUUUCAGCUCAACCAGCAGUCGCUGCUGUGCUUUAGUUCAUUAGUUUAGUGUCGUCGAGUACUAAAUUGUAUUUGUAGCGGGUUUGUGCGUCACGUGGGUCAGGUUGUUUCAAUAAUAAUAAUAAUAAUAAUAAUAAUAUUUUCGCAACUUUGAUUUAUAAAAAAAAAGGCAUUAUUUUAGGUCCCGAGGCGUGACAGUGUAGUGUCUCUGGGGCUUAGCUGUCUGACUGACUAUAGUAUUAGUGACUUGUCGAUACAUCUGUAGAGUGUCAGGACGAGUCAGGGUCGUUUUGGCGUGAAAUAGACAUGAAAACAGACUCAGAGCUAUGAGAGUAGGAGUUUGAACAUUGAAAUCUACAAAAGCAGGAUUUUGAGUGUUGUAUACCAGUACCUGAGAGGAGUACCGGUACCCUUGAGGGAUUACAAGGUUUGAUGCUCUCGGAUUUGUGCAGCUUGGCGUCGAGUACCGGUACCUGUUGGUGAGUACCGGUACUGGGCCUGGGUACCGGUACUGCAUCCGGCUAGUACCGGUACACAGCACUCGAGUUCGCGAGUUGAGUGUUGGGUACCGAUACCCAAGUUGAGUACCGGUACUCAAACGGCUGAAUUGAGUUGGUAAGGGGUCUUUUGGUCAUUUUGGUUGUCGAUAUUAUCGCCAACCGACCCCCAGCCCUAUUUAGCUGAGUUGGAGCUAGGAGAACUGAUAGAGCUUCAUCUCUCUCUCUCUCCCUCUCUCUAGCUAGCUCAGGAUCACUCUCUGUUGCAUUGUGCUGGUCCUUGGAGGUUUGGUCGCGCACCACGGUUGAUUCCUUUGAGGCUGUUCCGGCAUGGGGCUUCUUCUAUCGACUUCUAGCCGGUGUUGGACGAGCAUUUGAGGUGGUUUAAUGUUUACCGAAAUCGUCGGAAUUCCUCCUAAGUCGUAGAGUGACAGCAUGUACUUUCUUAAGUUGAUCACCAUAUUUAGUAGCUCGAAUUCUUGUAUUUGCAUGUUUUUAUGAAAUCUGAAUUUGGAGUAUAAUCUAACGAUUUUAGAUGAAUUUUAUAUGCUGAACUGGGAUUUGACUUAGGAGAAAACGGAUUAAACCUACACUGUCAUUUUCGAAAGGUUAACAGAUUUAGCUUCAUGAGCUAGUUUCUUUAUUGUAUCACCGCUUUUAGUGCGUUGUGAAUACUCAGAAUAGUAUAGGUUAAGUUUACGCUCGUGCUGAGGGAUCGAGCUCGUUUUACAGUAGAGUUUGGACUGUUCUGUACCGUUGGGUGCCGUCGGGGCUGACGAUGGACCCAUAUGUUUAUAUCUUCUCUAAGAUUAUGCCGAGGGCACGUGAAAUUUGGUUGUUAGACCAGUUUGACCCAUUUGCAUUGACUAUAGCCUGUGUGAGCCUGAUUGAGCUCGACAGAGACACGCUUGCAUACUUGGUUGGGUCGCUCCCACGAGUGCCGCUCCGGAGUGAGGCUUUACUUGCAUUGAUGUCGCAGCAGUUCCGUUUGGGCAAUUCUUGGACCGGCCAUUCCCGUGGGUGGUGUGCGGUGUAGUUUGGAUACAAACUGAACGGGCCAGUCGGCAGUCUCUUGAGAUUGGGUCAGUGUUGAGCUAGUGAUGCAUUUCUAUAUCUGCAGAGAGCAUGGUUGGAUAGCGAUAGUCUAGUAGGAUAUAGCUGUAGAGUUUCUUCCAGCUUACUAUCCUUUGCAUACCUUACUGUAGAUUUAGUGGGUGGGCCGUUGGGGUUGGUGACGGUACCUACUGAGGACUAUUUUGGUUUGCAGUAGUUCUCACACCCCGUUGUUGCUACCUUUUUGCAGACCCGUCCGUUGCUGCUGCUGUUGAUUCUAACCGUGGUAAGGGAGUCGCGAGCUAAAUCCCUAUCAUCCCUGAUCACUGUGCUAGAGGAGUACCCCUUCAGAGGUAGUUUCGGUUGUUACCAUGUACAUACAGUUAUAUUUUGGUUGUACACUCUGGACCGGGGUUGUAUUUUAGAUAUUGUAUGUACAGUGGACUUAGUGUGUAUAUAUAUAUAUAUAUAUGUGUGUGUGUGUGUGUGUGUGUUUCUAUUUAGCAGCUCUGUGCUUAGCAGCUCUGUGCUUUGGUUGUAACUCCAAUUUGUUUGCAGGUAUAUAUGU
rnacentral:lncRNA from 1 species